rnacentral:rRNA from 1 species
UGGGGAAUUUUGGACAAUGGGCGCAAGCCUGAUCCAGCCAUGCCGCGUGCAGGAUGAAGGCCUUCGGGUUGUAAACUGCUUUUGUACGGAACGAAAAGGUGCCUUCUAAUAAAGGGCGCUCAUGACGGUACCGUAAGAAUAAGCACCGGCUAACUACGUGCCAGCAGCCGCGGUAAUACGUAGGGUGCGAGCGUUAAUCGGAAUUACUGGGCGUAAAGCGUGCGCAGGCGGUUUUGUAAGACAGAGGUGAAAUCCCCGGGCUCAACCUGGGAACUGCCUUUGUGACUGCAAGGCUGGAGUGCGGCAGAGNGGGAUGGAAUUCCGCGUGUAGCAGUGAAAUGCGUAGAUAUGCGGAGGAACACCGAUGGCGAAGGCAAUCCCCUGGGCCUGCACUGACGCUCAUGCACGAAAGCGUGGGGAGCAAACA